UGCACAAAUUUCAUGCAUCAGGCCUCUAGUCAUAAUAACCUCAAAGUGCAAACAACCUAAAGUCCAUCAGCUAAUGAAUAGAUAAGUAAAAUGUGGAAUAUUAUUUUGCAGUGAAUCUUAGUAAAGUACAAAUACUACAGCCUUGAAAACAGUGAAAGAAGUCAGUCAAAAAAGACCACAUAUUAUUUGAUAUAGGCAAAUCUAUAGAGUUUUUUUAUUUUUUUUUCACUAUAGACAGUUAUUAAUGGUUAUUGGAAGUGGGGGAAAGUGGGGAAUGGGGAGUAACUGCUAAUGGGUAUGGGGUUUCUUUUUGGAGAUGAAAAUGUUCUGGAAUUAAUGGUAAUGGUUACACAACUCUGUGACAAAAAGCACUCAAUUGUAUAUACUUCAAGGGUAAUAUUUUUUUAAAGUUUUUUUUUAAAUUUUGAGAGAGGGAGAGAAACAUCAUCAAUCAGAUGUCUCCUGCACACCACCUAUCGGGGAUUGAACCUGCAGCCCUGGCAUAUGCCCUGACUAGGAACUGAACCUGCAACCUUUCAACCUUUGGUGCAAGCGAUCACACCCAACCAACCAACAGAGCCACACUGGCCAGGGCACAGGUAACUGCAUUACAUGUGAAUUUCUCCCGAUGAACUUCUCAAUAAAACUGUCACAUAAUUUUAUCAACGUUCCUUUUAAUAAAAGUUAUAGCACUUAGUUACACAAGAAUUGAAAAAAAAUCCAGCAUUUCCCCGUUCUCAGUGAAAGCAGUACACACACUAGACCUCUGGGAUUCUGCAGGGACUGGUGCUGGCAUGGAGUUCCCACUGUAGGUGAACAUCCACAGAGGAAAACAAGCUAUUGAACACCUUGCCUGCUUUAACUGAUGGCCUGUGGAUGUUAUGAAGAUGUGGCUCAUUUUUCUUCAACACUGAAAAUGAAGUUGAAAACUUUAUUAUACAGUACAGCCCUGUACUGUAUUGUGAUCUGAAUAAAGUCACUGAUUGUAAACUUUUUCAAGCAUCUCGUUUCCACUCUAGCUUUCCAUAGUGAGCUCGUCUUUUUCAGUUUGUGCGGAAUCCUCCUCCGCUUUGGGGUGAGGCCCGUCACCCGUCCACUGUGGUCCUCGUGGGAAAUGUGAGAUCCCGGCCCUGUUCCUCUUCCCGCGGGAACUGCUCUAAUCCAGGGGCAGUGACCAGGGAAGACAGUAGCGCUUCUGUAGAAUGUGACUCCUGGCAGCUAAGGGAGGAAGUUUUCUCUCUCCUUUGUGGAUCCUGGCUAUGAAGGAGGUGUGCUUUUGGUUGACACUGACCUCUUUCCCAGCUGGAGAAAGGGCCAGCCUGAAAAUGAAGCCAGGAAACAAACAGCCCAGCGAGGGCAGAGCCCGGGCUACAGCAGCCAGCGGUGCCUGACGUGUGAUGUUAAGGUUAUGAGGCUGUUAAGUCAGUGAAUCAGUGCAAACGAAGCAUUUCUUCUCCAAGAACUCAAACCAAUUUAUUUUAUAACUAACCAAGACAGAUAAAUAAAAGACAGUUUUAUCCUAAACUCCCCCAGGAGACAUUUUUUCCACGUGAUCGAUUUAACAGUCCCAUUAGUGGCCUUCAGAAUAUUCACAAAGGAUGUGUACAAAGCGUGUCAUUUGGUUGAAUCAUGUUUGAAAAUAAUCUUUGUGCUUUAAAACAAUUUUGUUGUUGUUAAUCCUCACUUGAGGAUAUUUUUCCCUUGUUGAUCAGAUAGUAGAAGGGGGUGGGGCUACAGAGAGGGAGACACACACAAGAGGUUGCCUCCCACCUGUGCCCCUUCCAAGGUAUCCCCUUGACCAAGAUAGAACCUGUGGGCCUUUAAAACGCAUUUAUUCUCCCUUGCUCGUAACUGGUCAAUUAAAAUUUUCUUCUAAAAAUAACUCAGAAUAAAAUUAUUUAUAAAUAUUAA